GUGACCUCAAAUCAGGUAGGACUACCCGCUGAACUUAAGCAUAUCAAUAAGCGGAGGAAAAGAAACUAACAAGGAUUCCCCUAGUAACUGCGAGUGAAGCGGGAAAAGCUCAAAUUUAAAAUCUGUCAGUCUUUGGCUGUCCGAGUUGUAAUCUAGAGAAGCGUCGUCCGUGCUGGACCGUGUACAAGUCUCCUGGAAUGGAGCGUCAUAGAGGGUGAGAAUCCCGUCUUUGACACGGACUGCCAGGGCUUUGUGAUGCGCUCUCAAAGAGUCGAGUUGUUUGGGAAUGCAGCUCAAAAUGGGUGGUAAAUUCCAUCUAAAGCUAAAUAUUGGCGAGAGACCGAUAGCGAACAAGUACCGUGAGGGAAAGAUGAAAAGAACUUUGGAAAGAGAGUUAAACAGUACGUGAAAUUGCUGAAAGGGAAACGCUUGAAGUCAGUCAUGUUGUCCAGGGAUCAACCUUGCUUUUGCUUGGUGUACUUUCUGGUUGACGGGUCAGCAUCAAUUUUGACUAUUGGAAAAAGAUUGAGGGAAUGUGGCAUCUUUG
rnacentral:rRNA from 1 species